rnacentral:rRNA from 1 species
UGUUUAUCAAAAACAUGUCUUUAUGAAAAUAAUAUAAAGUCUAACCUGCCCACUGAAAUUUUAUUUAAAGGGCCGCGGUAUUUUGACUGUGCAAAGGUAGCAUAAUCAUUUGUCUUUUAAUUGAAGGCUGGAAUGAAUGGUUGAAUGAAGUAUUAACUGUCUCAUUUUAAUAAAUGUAAAAAUUUAAUUUUUUAGUCAAAAAGCUAAAAUUUAAUUGAAGGACGAGAAGACCCUAUAAAUCUUUAUUUUAUAUUAUUAAAUUAAAUUUUAGAUAAAAAUUAUUUAUUAUAAUAUAUAAAAUUUUAUUGGGGUGAUAGGAAAAUUUAAUAAACUUUUUUUAUUUUAACUAUUGAUUUAUAAAUAUUUGAUCCAAUAUUGUUGAUUAAAAGAUUAAGAUACUUUAGGGAUAACAGCGUAAUUUUUUUAGAGAGUUCUUAUCGAUAAAAAAGAUUGCGACCUCGAUGUUGAAUUAAAGAUUAAUAUUAAAUGUAGAAGUUUAAAUAUUAGGUCUGUUCGACCUUUAAAUCUUUCAUGAUCUGAGUUCAAACCGG